rnacentral:rRNA from 1 species
AGAAUCAACGCUGGCGGCGUGCCUAACACAUGCAAGUCGAACGAGAAAGUGGAGCAAUCCAUGAGUAAAGUGGCGCACGGGUGAGUAACACGUGACUAACCUACCCUUGAGUGGGGGAUAACCUAGAGAAAUCUGGGCUAAUACCGCAUAAUACCUUCGGGUCAAAGGAGCAAUUCGCUUAAGGAGGGGGUCGCGGCCGAUUAGUUAGUUGGCGGGGUAAUGGCCCACCAAGACUAUGAUCGGUAUCCGGCCUGAGAGGGCGCACGGACACACUGGAACUGAAACACGGUCCAGACUCCUACGGAGGCAGCAGUGGGAAUUUUGCGCAAUGGGGGAAACCCUGACGCAGCAACGCCGCGUGGAGGAUGAAGUCCCUUGGGACGUAAACUCCUUUCGAUCGGGACGAUAAUGACGGUACCGAGAGAAGAAGCCCCGGCUAACUUCGUGCCAGCAGCCGC